AUUGAACGCUGGCGCAGGCCUUACACCUGCCAGGUGAACGAGUGGCGGACGGGUGGGUAAUGUCUGGGAAACUGCCCGCUGGAGGGGGGUAAAUACUGGAAAAGGUUGCUCAUACCCCCUACCAUCAGUUGUGCCCAGGUGGGAUUAGGUUGUUGGUGGGGUAACGGCUCACCAAGGGGCAGAGCCCUAGCUGGUCUGAGAGGAUGACCGGCCACUCUGGAACUGAGACACGGUCCAGACUCCUACGGGAGGCAGCAGUGGGGAAUAUUGCACAAUGGGCGCAAGCCUGAUGCAUCCAUGCCGCGUGUAUGAAUAAGGCCUUCGGGUUGUAAAGUACUUUCAGCGGGGAGGCGUUACCCGCAGAAGAAGCACCGGCUAACUCCGUGCCAGCAGCCGCGGUAAUAC
rnacentral:rRNA from 1 species